rnacentral:rRNA from 1 species
GAGUUUGAUCCUGGCUCAGAUUGAACGCUGGCGGCAUGCCUUACACAUGCAAGUCGAACGGCAGCACGGGUGCUUGCACCUGGUGGCGAGUGGCGAACGGGUGAGUAAUACAUCGGAACAUGUCCUGUAGUGGGGGAUAGCCCGGCGAAAGCCGGAUUAAUACCGCAUACGAUCUGAGGAUGAAAGCGGGGGACCUUCGGGCCUCGCGCUAUAGGGUUGGCCGAUGGCUGAUUAGCUAGUUGGUGGGGUAAAGGCCUACCAAGGCGACGAUCAGUAGCUGGUCUGAGAGGACGACCAGCCACACUGGGACUGAGACACGGCCCAGACUCCUACGGGAGGCAGCAGUGGGGAAUUUUGGACAAUGGGCGAAAGCCUGAUCCAGCAAUGCCGCGUGUGUGAAGAAGGCCUUCGGGUUGUAAAGCACUUUUGUCCGGAAAGAAAUCCUUGGUUCUAAUAUAGCCGGGGGAUGACGGUACCGGAAGAAUAAGCACCGGCUAACUACGUGCCAGCAGCCGCGGUAAUACGUAGGGUGCAAGCGUUAAUCGGAAUUACUGGGCGUAAAGCGUGCGCAGGCGGUUUGCUAAGACCGAUGUGAUAUCCCCGGGCUCAACCUGGGAACUGCAUUGGUGACUGGCANGCUAGAGUAUGGCAGANGGGGGUAGAAUUCCNCGUGUAGCAGUGAAAUGCGUAGAGAUGUGGAGGAAUACCGAUGGC